UGUGGUGAUGAAGGCAAGAAGGAUACACCUGUUCCCAUGCCGAACACAGCAGUUAAGCUUCUUAGCGCCGAUGGUAGUUGGACCUUUGGUCCUGUGAGAGUAGGACGUCGCCACGC
rnacentral:rRNA from 1 species